UACGGAGGGUGCAAGCGUUAUCCGGAUUCACUGGGUUUAAAGGGUGCGUAGGUGGGGUGGUAAGUCAGUGGUGAAAUCUCCGAGCUUAACUUGGAAACUGCCAUUGAUACUAUCAUUCUUGAAUAUUGUGGAGGUCAGCGGAAUAUGUCAUGUAGCGGUGAAAUGCUUAGAUAUGACAUAGAACACCAAUUGCGAAGGCAGCUGGCUACACGAAUAUUGACACUGAGGCACGAAAGCGUGGGGAUCAAACAGG
rnacentral:rRNA from 1 species